rnacentral:rRNA from 1 species
GACGAACGCUGGCGGCGUGCUUAACACAUGCAAGUCGAACGGAAAGGCCCUGCUUUUGUGGGGUGCUCGAGUGGCGAACGGGUGAGUAACACGUGAGUAACCUGCCCUUGACUUUGGGAUAACUUCAGGAAACUGGGGCUAAUACCGGAUAGGAGCUCCUGCUGCAUGGUGGGGGUUGGAAAGUUUCGGCGGUUGGGGAUGGACUCGCGGCUUAUCAGCUUGUUGGUGGGGUAGUGGCUUACCAAGGCUUUGACGGGUAGCCGGCCUGAGAGGGUGACCGGCCACAUUGGGACUGAGAUACGCCCAGACUCCUACGGGAGGCAGCAGUGGGGAAUAUUGCACAAUGGGCGGAAGCCUGAUGCAGCAACGCCGCGUGCGGGAUGACGGCCUUCGGGUUGUAAACCGCUUUCGCCUGUGACGAAGCGUGAGUGACGGUAAUGGGUAAAGAAGCACCGGCUAACUACGUG